rnacentral:rRNA from 1 species
ACGCUCGACACCUACGGGAGCAGCAGUAGGGAAUCUUCCACAAUGGGCGCAAGCCUGAUGGAGCAACACCGCGUGAGUGAAGAAGGGUUUCGGCUCGUAAAGCUCUGUUGUUGGAGAAGAACGUGCGUGAGAGUAACUGUUCACGCAGUGACGGUAUCCAACCAGAAAGUCACGGCUAACUACGUGCAAGCAGCCGCGGUAAUCUGAGCGGGCUGGCAAGGC